rnacentral:rRNA from 1 species
UACGUAGGGUGCGAGCGUUGUCCGGAAUUAUUGGGCGUAAAGGGCUCGUAGGCGGUUUGUCGCGUCGGGAGUGAAAACCCCGGGCUUAACUCGGUGCUUGCUUUCGAUACGGGCAGACUAGAGGUAUGCAGGGGAGAACGGAAUUCCUGGUGUAGCGGUGAAAUGCGCAGAUAUCAGGAGGAACACCGGUGGCGAAGGCGGUUCUCUGGGCAUUACCUGACGCUGAGGAGCGAAAGUGUGGGGAGCGAACAGG